GACGAACGCUGGCGGCGUGCCUAACACAUGCAAGUCGAACGGAAAGGCCUCUUUCGGGGGGUACUCGAGUGGCGAACGGGUGAGUAACACGUGAGUAACCUGCCCUUGACUUUGGGAUAACUUCAGGAAACUGGGGCUAAUACCGGAUAGGAGCUCCUGCUGCAUGGUGGGGGUUGGAAAGUUUCGGCGGUUGGGGAUGGACUCGCGGCUUAUCAGCUUGUUGGUGGGGUAGUGGCUUACCAAGGCUUUGACGGGUAGCCGGCCUGAGAGGGUGACCGGCCACAUUGGGACUGAGAUACGGCCCAGACGCCUACGGGAGGCAGCAGUGGGGAAUAUUGCACAAUGGGUGGAAGCCUGAUGCAGCAACGCCGUGUGCGGGAUGACGGCCUUCGGGUUGUAAACCGCUUUCGCUCAUGACGAAGCUUUGUGUGACGGUAGUGGGUAAAGAAGCACCGGCUAACUACGUG
rnacentral:rRNA from 1 species